rnacentral:rRNA from 1 species
ACGUACACUCCUGCGGGAGGCAGCAGUGGGGAAUUUUGGACAAUGGGCGCAAGCCUGAUCCAGCCAUGCCGCGUGCGGGAAGAAGGCCUUCGGGUUGUAAACCGCUUUUGUCAGGGAAGAAAAGGUUCUGGCUAAUACCUGGGACUCAUGACGGUACCUGAAGAAUAAGCACCGGCUAACUACGUGCCAGCAGCCGCGGUAAUACGUAGGGUGCAAGCGUUAAUCGGAAUUACUGGGCGUAAAGCGUGCGCAGGCGGUUAUGCAAGACAGAGGUGAAAUCCCCGGGCUCAACCUGGGAACCGCCUUUGUGACUGCAUGGCUAGAGUACGGUAGAGGGGGAUGGAAUUCCGCGUGUAGCAGUGAAAUGCGUAGAUAUGCGGAGGAACACCGAUGGCGAAGGCAAUCCCCUGGACCUGUACUGACGCUCAUGCACGAAAGCGUGGGGAGCAAACAGGAUUAGAAACCCCUGUAGUCCCA